rnacentral:lncRNA from 1 species
CCUGGACUCGGCCGGGCUGGGGUAGGGCGGGUGGAGGGUCCCCGCCGGGUCCCAGGGAGGCCCCUGAGAAGGGGCCGCGAGUGUCCCCCGUGAAGAGGGCCCAGACGGGGCAGGUGGCAGGUGGGGGGCAGCCAACAGCCCGAGCAGGGAGGAGCCUCUGUGAAGGCCGUCGGCCGGAGGUCUGGGCGUCCCGGGGCCGGGGGGGGGGGGGCGGACGCUGAGGCCGUGUGCCGGCGGGGCUGCUUCGCCCUGGCGGUGCCCGGCUCUGGGGGGCUGCUGCUUAACCACGAGAGACGCCCUUUUGGGAGAGACUGAGCUGUGCUCCUGUGCAUGUAUGUGCGUGUGUGCCCGUGUGCAUGUAUGUGCACGUGUGUGUGCCCGUGUGUGUGCUGGUGUGUACGUGCCUGUGUGUGCGUGUGUGUGUGCAUGUGUGUAUGUGCCCAGAUGUGCGUGUGUGCCCGUGUGUGUAUGUGUGCAUGCGUGUGCGUGUGCGCCUGUGUGUACGUGCCCAUGGGUGUGCAUUGUGUAUGUGCCCAUGUGUGUGUGUACAUGUGCCUGUGUGCCCGUGUGUGUGUACGUGCCCGUGUGUGCAUGUGUGUAUGUUCGUGUGCGUGCAGUGUGUAUGUGCCCGCAUGUGCGUGUGUGCCCAUGUGUGUAUGUGCCCGUGUGCGUGUACAUGCCUGUGUGCGCAUGUGUGUAUGUGCGCAUGUGUGUAUGUGCCCGUGUGUGCGUGUGCGCCUGUGUGUACGUGCCCAUGUGUGUGCAUUGUGUAUGUGCCCAUGUGUGUGUACAUGUGCCUGUGUGCCCGUGUGUGUGUGUACGUGCCCAUGUGUGUGCAUUGUGCAUGUGCCCAUGUGUGUGUACAUGUGCCUGUGUGCCCGUGUGUGCAUGUACGUGCCGUGUGUAUGCAUCGUGCAUGUGCCCGUGUGUGUACAUGUGCCUGUGUGCCCGUGUACGUGCCCAUGUGUGUGCAUUGUGCAUGUGCCUGUGUGUGUGUACAUGUGCCUGUGUGCCCGUGUGUGCGUGUACGUGCCGUGUGUGUGCAUUGUGCAUGUGCCCGUGUGUGUGUACAUGUGCCCGUGUGUGUGCCCGUGUGUGCGUGUAUGUGCCCAUGUGUGUGCAUUGUGCAUGUGCCCGUGUGUGUACAUGUGCCCGUGUGUGUGCCCGUGUGUGCGUGUAUGUGCCCAUGUGUGUGCAUUGUGCAUGUGCCCGUGUGUGUGUACAUGUGCCCGUGUGUGUGCCCAUGUGCAUGUGUACACACGGACAGGAAUUAGCACCUGAGCUUGCCCUGGGGGGGUCUGGCUGGGGGAGGCUGACCCUCGCUGGGAUGUUUCUGGCUCAGUGGAGGCGGAGCCCGGGACAGGCCAUGGACGGAGCACACGGAGGCUCAGAGAGGUGGAGGGGCCCAGGGAGGGUCAGCCAGCAAAUGCCCGCACCAAGAUUUGAACCCAGGUCUUUAGAUCUCCCAAGACGGUGCCUCCCCUCCCCCCCAGGAUGGGGGUCGGGAGGGUCUCCUGACCUCGGGACUUCCUGGUGUUGCUCCCCCGGAGCCCCAGAGGGUGAGAGCUGGGGCUGCGUCAUGGGGCGGCCCCGCUUUCCUGCGUGA